ACCACAUUGUGUCAUGUUGUUACUGCUAAUUUAAACAGAGUGCCCCGUGAUGGCAGUGGGGUUAUGGUGUGUGCUGCCAUAAGCUACGGACAAAGGAAUUUUAUAGGUGAUAAUUUGAAUGCACAGAGAUACUGUGACGAGAUUCUGAGAUCCAUAUUGUCGGACUGCAAAAUAUUCUUAUAUAAAUCAUCAUCAUAAAUCAUACAUUUCCUGAAUAAUAUUAACUUCCACUGCUCACCUUUAAGGCAAAGUGUACAAGUGGUAAUUUGUGAAAGGAACUUUAAUUGUAAUUAUGACAGAUUCAUUUGCGCAGCAAGUGUAUACUUUUAGAUUACUUACGCAAUUGUCUGCCACGCAUUUUCUCUCUGCUUAAUAAUUGCUGCUGUGUUUCCUUUUUUAGUUAAUAUGUGUUUAACCUCCUCAUCAGUCUCCAUGAUGACACGCUGCUCACUGGGCGAGAAGUAAGCAUCGUGUCCUCUCCAUUGGUGCAUCAGUGAAACUGUGAUCAACCCAUGUGGUCUAUUUAAGAAAGCUGUGGACGUGCACUUACCUGAAUAAGAUACAACUUGCUUGACAUAGCCGCUCCUCCUCAGCCUGGCUUGGCGUUCGAACAACCAAUUAAGCCAGGAUGGACUUACGAGACUUUGUCCAGCUCCUCCUCAGCCAGGCUUGGCGUUCGAACAACCAAUUAAGUCAGAAUGGACUUAUGAGACUUUGUCUAGCCUCGCUUUUCCACUUAUCCUGGAUUGCUUAAUUCUGCUUUCGAACAACGGGCCCCUGGUCUCUGUACAGUUGAAAGUCCUCUUUGCAAUAUGUUUUGGAUUGUUGUCCACCUGCGUGUCAUCCUUACCGUCCUGGUGGAUGGCAACAGAUUCUUCUCAAAAAGUCCUGGUACAUGACUCGAUUCAUCUUCCCUUUGAUCAUUUGGAUUCUGCUGGUCCCAUGAAGAAACAGCCCCAUGUCAUGAUGCUUCUACCUCCAAACUAUACUGUAGGUAUGGUAUUUUUAGGGUCAGAUGCAGAGACAUUUCUCCUCCAAACAUGGCACAUCCUACUGAUGCAGGAAAGUUAGAUUUUGCCUUGUCUGACCGUCCUAUUUUCUUCUAGUAAUCUACAGGCUUCUCCAAAUGUUGUGUAGCAAACUUAAAAGAAUCUUUUGGACAACAAUACAAUGACAUAUAUAUCCUUUCAGUCACGAGAUAGGAGCUGAAAUCACUGACUGGCAAUUGUAAAACUGCAUUUUAUGGGUUGAAUUGUCCCCUUAAAGGUAUUUCAACCACAGACUGUAAAAUUAAUGGACAUAGCUACCAUGACGUCACCCGUUAGCUUUUGAACUCUCAUUCUGAUGCCUUGAGUUUAUGAUUUUGGCCGUCGCCAUCUUUUUUUGGAGUCAGAAGUGACCAUAUUUGGAUGGGAGGGUGAAGCUGUGGAGGAAAGAGAGGUGGAUCUGACUGAGAAGAGGACACUAUCUACAGAUAGCCUGUCACUCAAGCAGCUCUACCCUUAAAUAUGCAUAAUUUUAAGCCUUCAUAAAAUGUCAACAGGAUGUUUAUUUCUGCUGUAAAGUUGGACAUUUUAACAUGGGAGUCUAUGGGGACCAACUCACUUUUGGAGCCAGCCUCAAAUGGACUUUUGAUGAUCUGCAGUUUUUGGUACUGGCACAUUGGCUUAAUUUUUCGUGCUCUGAAGUUGCCACUCAAUUUCAACUGGUUAAAAGGACGAGGUGAGCUAUGAUUGUUCACAUAUAACCCUUACGAAUGAAAUCAAGUCAUUUUAUGGCAUAUAUAACCUUUCAGUCACAAGAUAGGAACUUAAAUCACUUUUCGGCAAGUGUAAAAUUACAUUUUUUGGGUUGAAUUGCCCCUUUAAAGAUAUUUCAACUGGUAUAAAGGACUUGGUGAGCUAUAAUCUGUCACAUAUAACCAUCAUGAAUAAUAAUACUUUCUUAAACGUAUCUAAAACUAAGGAGUUGAUUUUUGAUUUUAGCCCUAAUAGAGACACAGCCAAGGAAAGCAUUAUUCACAAUGACACUGUGGAAAGGGUUACCUCAUACAAAUAUUUAAGUACCUCUUUUUAUUAACAUCUUAAAUUUGUUGUAAACACUGCAGAUAUUGCGAAGUGAGGGCAACAGAGAAUUCACCUGCUCCAUAAACUAAAUCCCUUUUCCGUCAGUCCCAUCAUCCUCUGCCAUUUCUAACAGUCUUUUAUUGACAGCCUCCUGUAUUUUUCAUUUAUCUGCUGAUUUCACAGCCUUAUAUUGAAAGACUGAAACAGUGUAAAUAGAACUGUUAAAAAUCUGCUCUAAAAUCACACGAGUGACGCAAAGGAACUUCCUGGUUUUUGCAAUUAGCAAAUCCGUCCGAAAGCCACAAGUAUUUCAGCUUCUACUGGACAUGUUCUUGGACAUGUUCUUGCUAUGACAAUAUGACGAAUAUGAUUGACAUAAAUGCUUAUUGGCAUGUGCUCUUUACAUUACAUUGGCAUAUACUAUCAUUGACUCCAGGUAGUGUGUGAAUCAUCUGGUUUUUUGCUUACAUGGUCAUUCUUAGCACUAUAAAUGUGUGUGUGUCUGGUCUACUUGGACAGAUUUGCUUACAGACAGAGAGCAGCAGGUCCAUGGAGAGAAAGCAGGCCACCACCUGCACCUAACACUUGUUUCCCCUCUGUCACUUAUACUGUAUAUUACCAUUAUAUUCAUCUCACACUCCAUUACUCCAGCGGAAUGAUGGACGGUUUUAUGGGUUAAAAAUGUCAGGCAUAGAUCUAGAAACAUAGAUGCCUCAUUGGCUGCUGGAUCAGGCAUCAGUAUUGCUAAAAUAUUGGAGAGUGCAAGACUUGCCUGUAAACAAACUGAAGUAAACAGGGCAGCUGCGGUUUUUCUGGAUAAAAAGCACUAUAACAUUUAUAUUUCUCAACUGAUUGCAGUGAUUCAUGUUUGCAUCCAUCUCAUUCCAGUGGGUGCGAUAUCUCAAGAACACCUUAAGAGAUUUUUUUCAAAUUUGGCACAAAUUUCUUCUUGGCCUCAAGAAUGUGCUGAUUAUAAUUGGGGGAUCAAAGGUCAAGGUCACUGUGACUUUAGAAAACACAUUUUUGGCCAUAAGUCAGGAAUCACUUCGCUAUUUAUGACAAAACUUCACACAAAUGUCUAACAGGAUAAAACGAUGUAGUGCUGACAUUUUAAGCCCAAAAGGUUAUCAGCUUUACUGUGACAUCAUAAUGUCUUGCAAAAACACUUCUCUGGAAGUGCUAGUGGUACUUUUCGUGGUUGGUUAGGACGGUGGUGGCGUGUGGCUGCAGGCCAUCAUCAGGAUGAGGAAAUCAACUCAUCAGUUUGUAAACUCUCCGUCUGCCGACUUAGAGCUAGAUAGCAAGGUCAAGGUUUUCACAUGUAAACAUCAGGAAACAUCGAGGGAGGAUGAAAAAGUUGACCUCCAGCUUAACUAGCAUCCUGCUAGCCAUUGUACAGACAUUUGAAAAUAAACUGGACAACCUCUGUGCUGCAUCAGUUCUGACAGCAUAUCAGGAACUGGAAUAUCCUUUCAUUUACUGAAACUUGGCUAAAUCCUGGAUAGGUGACUCUUUUUCUGGAUGCCGAUCUGACAGAGCAGAGGACUCUGAGAGAGAAGGAGAGGAGGUGUGUGCUUUACGGUGAAUAAGGACUGGUGUAACAUUGGGAAUGUGAGGUGUGGUCCUGGUCCUGUGGAUCACUGCUAUAUGACGUUCGGAGGUGGCUUGUUGCAGUCAGGAUGUGUGGACAAUUGAAACAUGGACAAUUCUGAUGCAGCCAACAAUGUAAGAAGACACACAAAUGGACUAAAUGACAGCACACAGGUUAAAGGAGCUGAUGGGAUCACAUUUCACUGGUGUUGUACCUCAUAUAACUCCAUGUGUUAGUUGAUUUCACACUCUUGUUACAAAGAUAAAUCCUUGUUGGGCUUUUUUAAAUG